rnacentral:sRNA from 1 species
GGACCGGGGCAGGUGGCACUGUGCACGCCAAGAUGGCUGUGUCCACAGAGGAGCUGGAGGCCACGGUUCAGGAAGUCCUGGGGAGACUGAAGAGCCACCAGUUUUUCCAGUCCACAUGGGACACUGUUGCCUUCAUUGUUUUCCUCACCUUCAUGGGUAAGUGUGGCUGUGGCCUCUGGGUCCUCCCAGCCCCCUGCCCUGGGCUCCAGGUUGGGGCCACACCUGGACGCCUGUCCUGUCCCCAGGCACCGUGCUGCUCCUGCUGCUGCUGGUCGUCGCCCACUGCUGCUGCUGCAGCUCCCCUGGGCCCCGCAGGGAAAGCCCCAGGAAGGUGAGCCCCUGGAAGGUGAGCCCUGCCGGCCUCCGGGACCUGCACGGAACUGUACUGGGGGUGGAGGCGGAAGGUGAGGGGAGUGGCGGGAAGGGUGCUCAUCCCCCUAGGGAACAACGAGCGAACCUGCUCGGUCCCACUGUGCUUCUCAUGCAGGAAAGACCCAAGGGAGUGGAUAACUUGGCCCUGGAACCCUGACCCUGUGUGUCCUGCCCGGUGGCAGUAACAAAGCCUUCUGUCCGCCCAGAGCCUGAGUCUGCAGUGUCUUCCAGUCCCCG